rnacentral:misc_RNA from 1 species
UACGAAGGGGGCUAGCGUUGCUCGGAAUGACUGGGCGUAAAGGGCGCGUAGGCGGUUUGGACAGUUGGGCGUGAAAUUCCCGGGCUUAACCUGGGGGCUGCGCUCAAUACAUCCAGGCUUGAGUGGGGAAGAGGGUCGUGGAAUUCCCAGUGUAGAGGUGAAAUUCGUAGAUAUUGGGAAGAACACCGGUGGCGAAGGCGGCGACCUGGUCCUUUACUGACGCUGAGGCGCGAAAGCGUGGGGAGCAAACAGG